AACGAACGCUGGCGGCAUGCUUAACACAUGCAAGUCGAACGGUGAACGCGGGAUCUUGCUCCCUCCGGAUCAGUGGCGAACGGGAGCGUACCCCUUGAGCGAUAUGCCCCGCACGCAGGGGUACGCGUUAGAACCGACGUCUAAGACCGGAUGCGACACGGCGGGGCAUGCUCUCCGCGUGUAAGGAAAUUCGGUUCGGGAUGAGCUCGCGGCCUAUCAGCUUGUUGGUGAGGUGACGGCUCACCAAGGCGACGCCGAGUAGCCGGCCUGAGAGGAGGACCGGCCACACCGGGACGGAUACGAGGCCGAGAAUCCUACGGGAGGAAGCAGUGGGGAAGAAUGCACAAUGGGCGCAGACAUGAUGAAGCAACGCCGCGGGAGGGACGAAAGCCUUCGGGUUGUAAUCAUCUUUUAGUACGGAAGAAGCGAAAGUGACGGUACCUGGAGAAAAAGCACCGGCUAACUCCGUG
rnacentral:rRNA from 1 species